AAAUUGUCAAAGGAACCGUGGUAGACACCAGCAUUUGUCACCCUAGGGAAUUUGAUUUUUACCUUAACAGCCAUGCAGGAAUUCAGGGGACUAGUCGACCAACGCAUUAUCAUGUGCUGUAUGAUGAAAAUAAAUUCACUGCAGACCAGCUACAGAGUUUGACCAAUAACUUGUGCAGGGGACUACUCGAUCUGUCUCAAUAGUUCCUCCUGCCUAUUAUGCACACUUGCUAUUAUUCAUCAUGGGUGGAUGGGCG